AUGGCAGCGGCAACUGCUGUCCCUUCACUUCAGGAUCAGUUCUGGGAAUCCAAAAGCACAAGUCAACCGUUUCCCUCGGGCUUGUUUACUUACAAAGAACACGCUCGUUCCUUUUACCUUGAACGCGGCAGGGACAAACAACACCAGGAACAUUGCUUACUCACAGCUUCUCAGCCUGCCUUCCCAGGCAGAGCUUUGUCCCAAGGGGAUUUCUGCCUCUGCUCACUCCACAGGGCUGCUCUCCAAAACCUUGCCUUUUGCCUCUUGGACACCUGUAGCCCUGUGAGGGUGCUGGGUGACCCUGCCCAGACCCAGCGGGGUUGCGCUCAGCCCAGCGGCACUGGGCUCCCGGCAGGGAAUAUGCGAUGCUGUGCUCUGGCACUUCUCCAGUACCUGAGAUGUGCUGGUGGCCUCAGCCCCCGGCCCAGCCUGUGGCACAGGGCUGCUCCUGCCCCAUGGCAGCACCCAGCGUGGUGCCGGGAAGCCAAGGGCUGGUGGUCACACCAUGCCGUGCCCAUCACAGCACAAUGUGCCCAUCACACCAUGCCGUGCCCAUCACACCAUGCCGUGCCCAUCACACCAUGCCGUGCCCAUCACAGCACAAUGUGCCCAUCACAGCACAAUGUGCCCAUCACACCAUGCCGUGCCCAUCACACCACAAUGUGCCCGUCACACCAUGCCGUGCCCAUCACAGCACACUGUGCACAACCCCAUCCACCUCACCUGCUGCAGGAGGCGGUACCAGCAGCAGACCAGCAUCUCUGCAGGCAGAUCACAAAGUGCCCUUUGGAUAGCGAAUUCAGGGCAAUUUCUUCCUGGGCAAGUGCAGAACCAGUGAAAACCCUGUAUUUCCUGAGGUCUGCUCUUCAGCUGAUCUCCUCUGAGAGAGGUCUUACAUUUUUGGCAAGGGAGAGAUGUGCCAUGGCUCUGCGAAAGGUGUGGCUGCAGCUGGGUCCGCACUGGCCAUCCGCCCUGCGCACUCCACUGGCAGCAGGCAAGGAUAUCACGCAUUGCAGCUGGGUCCACUGGAAUAUUAUUUUUAGUUCUUAA
rnacentral:lncRNA from 1 species